GACGAACGCUGGCGGCGUGCUUAACACAUGCAAGUCGAACGGAAAGGCCCUGCUUUUGUGGGGUGCUCGAGUGGCGAACGGGUGAGUAACACGUGAGUAACCUGCCCUUGACUUUGGGAUAACUUCAGGAAACUGGGGCUAAUACCGGAUAGGAGCUCCUGCUGCAUGGUGGGGGUUGGAAAUUUUCGGCGGUUGGGGAUGGACUCGCGGCUUAUGAGCUUGUUGGUGGGGUAGUGGCUUACCAAGGCUUUGACGGGUAGCCGGCCUGAGAGGGUGACCGGCGACAUUGGGACUGAGAUACGGACCAGACUCGUACGGGAGGCAGCAGUGGGGAAUAUUGCACAAUGGGCGGAAGCCUGAUGCAGCAACGCCGCGUGCGGGAUGACGGCCUUCGGGUUGUAAACCGCUUUCGCCUGUGACGAAGCGUGAGUGACGGUAAUGGGUAAAGAAGCACCGGCUAACUACGUG
rnacentral:rRNA from 1 species